AACUAGUGAUUAUUUCACUAGUGAUUAUUUAAGCAAAUAAUUAUAAUUAUGGUAAUUGAGUGAUUAGAUGUUUGAAAUACGAGUAUGGAAAAAAUUAGCUUUUAAUUACAAAAUUUGUUAUGCAUUUACUUUGUAAUAUGUUCCAGGCUUUGUGUUUUCAUGCUCACGCUCGAAAACCAAACCGUCAUGCAGGACACUAUCGAAUGGAGUAUUUGGCCUGAGCUUCCGACGAACAGAACGAGUAAUUAAACGCCGUCGUACCAAAGAAUCACACACUGAUCCGCUUGCCACCGUAGGAUCGGAUGCAACUCAUGCGAAAAUUGAGCUUCCUGCCAAUAUCGAGUUAUUAAUGCUCGAGUUGCAAUACAUAGUUCCCAAUUCAAGCUGUAAGCAUCGCGUACUUGAGCUGUGGAAAGCAACGUUCUUCAAGCGGCAGGAAUCACGGGAUUCCGAUAACAUUAGACUUUUAUGCCUUGAUGCCUAAGGCAAACUUAUUCAUUGAUGAGUGGAACAAGUUAGAAGAUAAAAUUUUGACUGCUCACCAAGUUAUGUUUAGAGAGCUAACUAAUGAUAUCGUACGUGCUCUUGCAAUCAUCAGAUUUGAAAAACCCUCGCGUGGAUCAAAGCGUUCAAGGAAUGAUGAGCCGGCGUUGGAUAAUCCGCUGGCGGGUUUGGUAAAAUGGAUUCAGCCUUAAGAAGAUUUUCCGCAAGCGGGGGAAAGCAUCCCAAUAUUGGCGGUUCGUGGACAAUUUCCAAACAUGUCAGACAGAUGUGCGGUUUGCUGGGAAUCUGCAGUUAUUCCUGUUGGAGAGGAAGGGUUUGGCAUUUUGUGCCAAUGCUUCUCCGUAUUUAAUCAAGUACCAAAUCCUGCAGAUAAAAACUUCUUCCUCUUCAUCGAAGGAGC